UGUGUGGUGGUAAACGGAGCCUUCCUCGAAGUUUGCCCGGGAGACCCAACCUAGGGGUGGGCCAGCCCUUGGCGCCUGAUCAGCAAUGACUGGCGUCGGGGUGCCUGGUCUGUCCACGGGUGCAUCUCUCUCGGGUGUUACGGUAGGAACUGUUGGGACUGGACCAAGGGCCUGGGAUGAAGUUCUCGCUCCGGCGUUAGCUCCCGGUGUCCCGGCUCCGGACCCGACAGGCCUAGUGGCCGACUUGUACAGCAAGCAACCCUUCUGUUGCGGUCGGUCCUUCCCUAUCGAGUAGGUCGGCGG
rnacentral:rRNA from 1 species